rnacentral:rRNA from 1 species
GACAGAGGGGGCAAGCGUUGCUCGGAAUUACUGGGCGUAAAGGGCGCGUAGGCGGGAUGGCAAGUCGGUCGUGAAAUCCCUCGGCUCAACUGAGGAUCGUCGAUCGAUACUGCUGUUCUUGAGGAUUGCAGAGGAGACUGGAAUUCCUGGUGUAGCGGUGAAAUGCGCAGAUAUCAGGAAGAACACCCGUGGCGAAGGCGGUUCUCUGGGACGGUACUGACGCUGAGACGCGAAAGCGUGGGGAGCGAACAGG